UCGUUAAAUAUGGGAAAGUUCUUAAGCUUAUGCUUUUUGCUCUUAGUCACCGCAUUUAUAAUUAUGGUCACAAUACAACACUACAACAGCUGUCUUGUCCUUGCAGGAGGAAUACACGGAGGACCAGGACGAGGAAGACUAGGAAGACUUUGUGGCGGCGCAAACCAGAGCGCCUGUCAACCAUAAAUAUUCACUGAAAAAUACUUUCAAGCUGGCUAAUUCAAAACAAGUAUUACACAUUAGCAGGGCAAUGUGGCGUCUUGUACUUACCUGUACUCACCAACAUUACGAAGCAGUGCUUGAAGCAAAAGAUUUUCAAGAAAUAAUAAAUCUCGGAAACAUUUUUUGG
rnacentral:lncRNA from 1 species